AUUUAGAGUAAGUGUGUGAUAAAUUUUUCUGUACCCCUGAUUUUUUCUGUACCCCCUCGGGUUUUGGCUAAUGGUUUUUAGACUUGGUUAUAUGUCCGGAACUUCAAAAGUCCAUAAUGGUAGAUUGACAGUGACUAUACUUUUUUGCAAAAGAGAAGAAGAACAUGGCUUUUUCAUAUGUUGCACAGAGCAUUUUCCAUAAUAAACUUAUGUUUCCUUUGUGCAGCUUGGAUUAUUCUAAUAUCACUAAAUGGAACAGACACUAACUAAUAACAAAAGCAAUAGACGGUAGUGCUUGCUCCAGCUUUCUUACAUAUAAAAACUAAGAAGGCUGGACAGUCAAUUUUGCUGACAAAACUGAUAGUGAGAGAAUUAGUGAACAAGUAUCCUUGCAACAAGUGAAGGUUA